ACCUACGGGGGGCAGCAGUGGGGAAUAUUGCACAAUGGGGGGAACCCUGAUGCAGCGACGCCGCGUGAGUGAAGAAGUAUUUCGGUAUGUAAAGCUCUGUCAGCAGGGAAGAAGAAAGACGGUACCUGACCAAGAAGCCCCGGCUAACUACGUGCCAGCAGCCGCGGUAAUACGUAGGGGGCAAGCGUUAUCCGGAUUUACUGGGUGUAAAGGGAGCGUAGACGGCGUGCCAAGUCUGAUGUGAAAGGCCGGGGCUCGACCCCGGGACUGCAUUGGAAACUGGCAUGCUGGAGUGCCGGAGGGGG
rnacentral:rRNA from 1 species